UACAGAGGGGGGCAAGCGUUAUUCGGAAUUAUUGGGCGUAAAGGGCGCGUAGGCGGCUUGGCAAGUGGAUGGUGAAAAUCCCCUCGGCUUAACCGAGGAACUGCCGUCCAAACUGCUUCGCUUGAGACCGGGAGAGGUGAGUGGAAUUCCCAGUGUAGCGGUGAAAUUCGUAGAUAUUCGCAAGAACACCAGUGGCGAAGGCGGCUCACUGGCCCGAUACUGACGCUGAGGUGCGAAAGCGUGGGGAGCAAACAGG
rnacentral:rRNA from 1 species